GAGAAUUAGCGCACAUCUAAUGGUAUUUGCAGGAAGUGACCUCGGAGGUUUCUGCCUGAGUAACAGUGAAUGCAUGCUGGGUGCACUCGUUACCGAUGUCACUGUUUGUAAUAGUAACGAUGAGACUGUUGGUAGAGGAUACCCUAGAAUCUGCAACCUUUACACGCACUCCUGUGUUUGCAACUCGUAUGUGACCGACCAGGAGUGCAAAGAUGCAGCGUCACUCACUGUGACAUGCGAAAGUUGUGAACCAUAACUGCACUGUGUUGGUGGAAACAGGACAUGCUGCCGGCGCUUGUGGAUGAAAGGAUAACACGAGACGAACAAAAGGAAAAGGUCGCAGAAAAUACGAAUUUAGCCCGAUAUUUUAUUUGCUUCUGUAAGAUUUCUAGUUUACGAUAAAUGUUAGUUUGAAUAAGGAAGUUUUUUUACAUAUUGUUAUCACGUGUGUUGCACAUUAUCUCUACUUAUGCUAUCUGAAACAUUAUGAAAAUUCGUCUUUGCAAUUCGCACUUCUGCCGUAAUAUUAUCCAUAAAACAAAUCUCGCCAAAAUCAGUUCGAUGCAAUGUGUGCUAUCGCUACUUGGUGACAACCUUCCACAAUAUUAGGAUCCCUUUAUAUUAUUUUCCGUGUGUUAUUUGCGUAUUUAUUUCGAUUAAUUAUUUUAUGCUAUUUACUCUUUGAAGUCAAAAUACUGUUGUUCGUUUAACACUUUUUUGUAACCAUCAUAAUUAUUAAAUCAUUUUACACGUUACUUUA